rnacentral:rRNA from 1 species
GACGAACGCUGGCGGCGUGCUUAACACAUGCAAGUCGAACGCUGAAGCUCAGCUUGCUGGGUGGAUGAGUGGCGAACGGGUGAGUAACACGUGAGUAACCUGCCCUCUUCUUUGGGAUAACGCCCGGAAACGGGUGCUAAUACUGGAUAUUCACUGAUUCUCGCAUGGGGGUUGGUGGAAAGGUUUUUUCUGGUGGGGGAUGGGCUCGCGGCCUAUCAGCUUGUUGGUGGGGUGAUGGCCUACCAAGGCUUUGACGGGUAGCCGGCCUGGGAGGGUGACCGGUCACAUUGGGACUGAGAUACGGCCCAGAGUCCUACGGGAGGCAGCAGUGGGGAAUAUUGCACAAUGGGCGAAAGCCUGAUGCAGCGACGCCGCGUGAGGGAUGGAGGCCUUCGGGUUGUAAACCUCUUUCGCUCAUGGUCAAGCCGCAGCUUUGGGUUGUGGUGAGGGUAGUGGGUAAAGAAGCGCCGGCUAACUACGUG